rnacentral:rRNA from 1 species
AUUCUUUAAAAUCAAAGAAUUUGGCGGUGUUUUAGUCUAAUUAGAGGAAUCUGUUUUAUAAUCGAUAAGCCACGAAAAAUCUUACUCGUUUUAAGUAGCUUGUAUACCGUC